rnacentral:rRNA from 1 species
GACAGAGGAUGCAAGCGUUAUCCGGAAUGAUUGGGCGUAAAGCGUCUGUAGGUGGCUUUUUAAGUCCGCCGUCAAAUCCCAGGGCUCAACCCUGGACAGGCGGUGGAAACUACCAAGCUGGAGUACGGUAGGGGCAGAGGGAAUUUCCGGUGGAGCGGUGAAAUGCGUAGAGAUCGGAAAGAACACCAACGGCGAAAGCAGAUCUCUGGGCCGUAACUGACGCUGAGGAGCGAAAGCGUGGGGAGCGAACAGGA